rnacentral:rRNA from 1 species
AAACUAACAAGGAUUCCCUCAGUAACGGCGAGCGAAGCGGGAAGAGCUCAAAUUUGAAAUCUGGCAGCUUUGCUGCUCGAGUUGUAAUUUGGAGAAGCGUUAUCAUGCAGCGUGCAGUUGUGCAAGUUCCUUGGGAUAGGACGCCAUAGAGGGUGAGAGCCCCGUUGGACAGCUGUAGGCAGCGGUUUGAGGCGUUUUCGACGAGUCGAGUUGUUUGGGAUUGCAGCUCUAAGAGGGUGGUAAAUUCCAUCUAAAGCUAAAUAUUGGCGAGAGACCGAUAGCGAACAAGUAGAGUGAUCGAAAGAUGAAAAGAACUUUGAAAAGAGAGUUAAACAGGAUGUGAAAUUGUUGAAAGGGAAGCGUUCGAAAGCAGACAUGCAUUCGUGCAGGCCAGGAAGGGUUUGUGGUGCCGGAGAAAGACAGCAGGAAAGUGGCCGGUGGGGCAACCUGACGGUGUUAUAGCCUGGUGUGGAAUACGGCGCUGGAGACCGAGGACCGCGACAACUUGUCAAGGAUUCUGGCAUAAUGGUUUUGAACGAC